AUUAAAGGACACAUGGCACUUUGGAGCUGUAGUUUUGGGGACCUAAAACUGUCUUCAGGCCUGUGUGGGCAGUUAUACAAAUGCGGCAUACAUCUAUACAUACACAUAAAUGACAGUGAGUCAUCAAGAAGAAUAUCUGAGAAUAAACACAUGCUUAAAGUG